rnacentral:rRNA from 1 species
GACGAACGCUGGCGGCGUGCUUAACACAUGCAAGUCGAACGGAAAGGCCCUGCUUUUGUGGGGUGCUCGAGUGGCGAACGGGUGAGUAACACGUGAGUAACCUGCCCUUGACUUUGGGAUAACUUCAGGAAACUGGGGCUAAUACCGGAUAGGAGCUCCUGCUGCAUGGUGGGGGUUGGAAAGUUUCGGCGGUUGGGGAUGGACUCGCGGCUUAUCAGCUUGUUGGUGGGGGAGUGGCUUACCAAGGCUGUGACGGGUAGCCGGCCUGGGAGGGUGACCGGCCACAUGGGGACUGAGAGACGGCCCAGACUCCUACGGGGGGCAGCAGGGGGGAGUAUUGCACAAUGGGCGGAAGCCUGAUGCAGCAACGCCGCGUGCGGGAUGACGGCCUUCGGGUUGUAAACCGCUUUCGCCUGUGACGAAGCGUGAGUGACGGUAAUGGGUAAAGAAGCACCGGCUAACUACGUG